UACGGAGGGUGCGAGCGUUGUCCGGAAUCACUGGGCGUAAAGGGCGCGUAGGUGGCGCGGGCAGUCAACGGUGAAAGUUCGGGGCUCAACCCUGAAUCGGCCGUCGAUACUCCCGGGCUGGAGCACUGUAGAGGCUAAUGGAAUUCCGGGUGUAGCGGUGGAAUGCGUAGAGAUCCGGAGGAACACCGGUGGCGAAGGCGGCAUCCUGGACCGACACUGACGCUGAGGAGCGAAAGCCAGGGGAGCAAACGGG
rnacentral:rRNA from 1 species